GACGAACGCUGGCGGCGUGCUUAACACAUGCAAGUCGAACGGAAAGGCCCUGCUUUUGUGGGGUGCUCGAGUGGCGAACGGGUGAGUAACACGUGAGUAACCUGCCCUUGACUUUGGGAUAACUUCUGGAAACUGGGGCUAAUACCGGAUAGGAGCUACUGCUGCAUGGUGGGGGAUGGAAAGUUUCGGCGGUUGGGGAUGGACUCGCGGCUUAUCAGCUUGUUGGUGGGGUAGUGGCUUACGAAGGCUUUGACAGGUAGCCGGCAUGAGAGGGGGACCGGCGUCAAUGCGACUGCGAGACGGAGCAGAAUCCUACGGGAGGCAGCAGUGGGGAAUAUGGCGGAAUGGGCGCAAGCCUGAUGCAGCAGCGCUCGGUGCGGGAUGACGGCCUUCGAGUUAUGAACAGCUUUGGCCGGUGCCGAAGCGUGAGUGACGGUAAUGGGUAAAGAAGCACCGGCUAACUACGUG
rnacentral:rRNA from 1 species